CGGCGAGUGAAGCGGCAACAGCUCAAAUUUGAAAUCUGGCCUCGGCCCGAGUUGUAAUUUGCAGAGGAUGCUUCUGGCGCGGUGCCUUCCGAGUUCCCUGGAACGGGACGCCACAGAGGGUGAGAGCCCCGUAUGGUCGGACACCAAGCCUGUGUGAAGCUCCUUCGACGAGUCGAGUAGUUUGGGAAUGCUGCUCUAAAUGGGAGGUAAAUCUCUUCUAAAGCUAAAUACCGGCCAGAGACCGAUAGCGCACAAGUAGAGUGAUCGAAAGAUGAAAAGCACCUUGAAAAGGGGGUUAAAUAGUACGUGAAAUUGUUGAAAGGGAAGCACUUGUGACCAGACUUGGGCCGGGCGGCUCAUCAGGGGUUCUCCCCUGUGCACUCCGCCCGGCACAGGCCAGCAUCGGUUCUCGUGGGGGGAUAAGACCGUCAGGAACGUAGCACCCUCCGGGGUGUGUUAUAGCCUGGCGGACGAUACCCCCGUGGGGACCGAGCUGUUCGCCGCUUCACUCAGCCGAUGCUGGCGUAAUGGUCACCAGUGACCCGUCUUGAAACAC
rnacentral:rRNA from 1 species